UACGUAGGGUGCGAGCGUUGUCCGGAAUUAUUGGGCGUAAAGAGCUCGUAGGCGGUUUGUCGCGUCGUCUGUGAAAACUCGAGGCUCAACCUCGAGCUUGCAGGCGAUACGGGCAGACUUGAGUACUGCAGGGGAGACUGGAAUUCCUGGUGUAGCGGUGAAAUGCGCAGAUAUCAGGAGGAACACCGGUGGCGAAGGCGGGUCUCUGGGCAGUAACUGACGCUGAGGAGCGAAAGCGUGGGUAGCGAACAGG
rnacentral:rRNA from 1 species